rnacentral:rRNA from 1 species
ACUCCUCCUCCUGCCAUUGUUUUUUAUCCUUUUCCGCUUUUUGUCGCCGCAAAGCGCGAAGCUUUCUCGCGCGCGCUCUCCCGGCUCGACAGCGCGGCGGAUGCGCCACGUGCUGCCGGCUGGCCGCGCCGUCGUCUCGCGCGGGGCGCGGGCGGCGGCGAUGGGGUCGUCGGCGGGGGCGGGGGCGGGGGACCCGGGCGGGAACCCGACGGUGGGGAGGCUGCGGGAGAUCUUCCGGGGCGGCGGCGACGCGGCAGAUGGCUGGGAGAAGUCCUGGGAGACUGGCGUAACCCCGUGGGAUCUGGGGAAGCCGACGCCUAUCAUCGAGCAUCUCGUUAAAUCAGGAACUCUCCCUAAAGGAAGAGCGUUGGUCCCGGGAUGCGGCAUGGGUUAUGAUGUGGUUGCUCUGGCAAGCCCUGAGAGAUUUGUCGUUGGCUUAGAGAUUUCUAAUAUAGCUGCUGAGAAGGCUAAGCAGUGGUCAUCAUCUUUGCCAAAUGCAGAUUGGUUUUCUUUUCUGAUUGCUGAUUUCUUCAAGUGGAGACCAAAUGAACCAUUUGACCUCAUUUUCGACUAUACGUUCUUUUGUGCACUUGAUCCAAGCAUGAGGCUGGCUUGGGCAGAGACAGUUAGUCGCCUUCUGAAACCAGAUGGAGAGCUUAUCACCUUGAUAUAUUUGAUCAGCGAUCAGGAAGGGGGGCCGCCCUACAAUAAUACAGUUGCUGACUAUCAGAAUGUGCUGGAGCCGCUGGGUUUCAAGGCUGUUUGGAUGGAAGACAACGAGCUGGCUAUUAAACCGCGCAAGGGUUUCGAGAAACUUGGAAGGUGGAAGAGAUGCGGCAGGCGGCAAUCUUCUUUGUGAGCAUAUAUGAAGACCUUGCUGUAUAGUUUGUAUACACUGUGUCUGUGUAUUGUGUUAGCUUCUGUGCUCAGUUCGUCAUGUGCACUUCCUGAACGAUGCAUGUGUGAUGUGCCAUUUACUGCUUCUGUUGGAGAUGAAAUCGGCCGUGUGAAAUUUCCGUGUGCUCUAAAUGAGCACCGUAUGGUAUGGUGAGACCAAAGUUUUAAAUAGCGCGCUAAGCCUCUUAGCGGCGGACCUUUUUUAAAUGCUAUAGCGUGCUAUAGCGGUGCUAUAGCGAGCUAUUUAAAAUGUUUACUCAUGUGUUUGGACAAAAGAUCCUUAGCGCAGGACCUCUUCUAAACGCUAUAGCAUGCUAUAGCGGAGCUAUAGCGGGCUAUUUAAAACCAUGGGUGAGACGCUAUUUGUGUUGUGCUGUCAACUUGGAGAUCAUUUUGAAACAAAUCAAAGAGCUCAGGAAAUGGUGAUGG